UACGUAGGGUGCGAGCGUUAAUCGGAAUUACUGGGCGUAAAGUGUGCGCAGGCGGCCGCGCAAGUCGAGUGUGAAAGCCCCGGGCUUAACUUGGGAAUUGCGCUCGAAACUAACGUGGCUGGAGUGUGGCAGAGGAAGGUGGAAUUCCACGUGUAGCGGUGAAAUGCGUAGAGAAUGUGGAGGAACACCAAUGGCGAAGGCAGCCUCUGGGCCAACACUGACGCUCAUGACACGAAAGCGUGGGGAGCAAACAGG
rnacentral:rRNA from 1 species